GACGAACGCUGGCGGCGUGCUUAACACAUGCAAGUCGAACGAUGAACCCGGAGCUUGCUCCGGCGGAUUAGUGGCGAACGGGUGAGUAACACGUGAGUAACCUGCCCUUGACUCUGGGAUAACUGCGGGAAACUGUAGCUAAUACCGGAUACGACCCUCGGCGGCAUCGCCAGGGGGUGGAAAGAAUUUCGGUCAAGGAUGGACUCGCGGCCUAUCAGCGAGUUGGGGAGGUAACGGCGCACCAAGGCGACGACGGGUAGCCGGCCUGAGAGGGUGACCGGCCACACUGGGACUGAGACACGGCCCAGACUCCUACGGGAGGCAGCAGUGGGGAAUAUUGCACAAUGGGCGCAAGCCUGAUGCAGCAACGCCGCGUGAGGGAUGACGGCCUUCGGGUUGUAAACCUCUUUUAGUAGGGAAGAAGCGAAAGUGACGGUACCUGCAGAAAAAGCACCGGCUAACUACGUGCCAGCAGCCGCAGUAA
rnacentral:rRNA from 1 species